rnacentral:rRNA from 1 species
GAUCAGGCGGUCCCCAGA